UUCCAUUCAACUGUUAAAAAAGAAUUUGACUGCAAAACCGUAUCCUUUGUAAUUUUUACCGUUAUUGACUCCUUUUGUAAUUUUUACACGAAUAACUAUGUUUUUACAAAUAGAUGCGGCGGUAAAAAAAAUGUAAAUACUAAUCACCCCUAAAAUUUUGUGAAAUUACACAAACAGAUAAAGUUCAAAUACCCCUAACAUUUUCAGUGAACGCAUGCGCCAUUCAACGACCAGGCAUAUAAAUUUGAUUGCAAAACUGUAUUAAAAAAAGUUCCGGACCUACUUAAAAGAAGAAAAAAAUCAGGGACUUAAUUAAACCUUUUUUUUUAGAGAGGAUGUUUAAACUUCACCUUCGUCCUGGAAAUCUCUUCUACAAAUCUUUCAUUAUACUUCACUGGCGGAUUAGUUCAACAUUCCCCACUCUUUUGAAUUUCUUGAAAGAUAACAUUAAAAAAUUGUCACUUACCAAGUUACCAUAAUUCACCCUCAACAAAUGUCCAUUUCAACCCAUUGCAAUAGACCAUGGUUUAAAACCACCAAGAUUUCUGACGGAGAUACAAAGCUUGUACUGUUCAAACAAAGAUACAACUACUUUAAAUACCACAUCAACAGUGGUCGUCACAUGAAUAAGCUUCGUAGUUAGUUACCUGAACAAAAAAUACAAAGUCAUAAUUAGGCCCAACCUACUACAAGGAAAUAUGACAAGAAAGAUGUUUCUAGCAAGAUUGCCAAACUUGAAGAGUUUACAUGAAUUUGUGGAGCAUCAUAAACUUGUAAGAAUUUACCUUAUACAUAAUAUGAUAAUAGUAUUUAAAAAACUAUCAUAGUAUCCAAAAUAAUCUAAUACCACCAGUUUCACAGAUCUGUAAUGGGAAAAGUUUAGAAUAUAAAGCAAACCACAAAUCAAUAAUUUACAAAUCACAAGAUGUGUUGAUAUCUCAGAAUGCAUACUGAAACAUAACAAAUUCAAAAUUAAUGGACAAAUUAACAAAUCACAAGAUGAGUUAAAAGCCCCCGAGAUACAAACGGAACAUAACUAAUUCUUCACAAAUCACAAUGUUCAGAAUUACUUAAAAAAUUAAGAUAAUGGUGGGUGGAUGCUAGGUUCACCUCAUUGAUGCUUGAUCGAUGAUUCACCCUGGGACAAUGAGCUAUGAUAAUGAUGGGUUCAUUCACGAUGAAUUGGAAUGGCUUGAUCACUGGGUUUGUCGCAGAAAACUGUAAUAGGUUAUGGGUUCAUUCAAACUAGGAGCCAGAGAUAUAGUUGUUGUGGGUUUGUUCAUGCUAGGAUACAGCUGUGAUGGUGUUCAUGAAACUCAAAAAUUAGCUCGUGGAAUCGUGUGUUUACAAUUGUACCACGUAAGAAAAUCAAUUAGACUAGCAUAAAACUCAUUUCUUCAAAGACUUGGGUGGACUCACAUGAAAUCGUUCAAAAUAGUAAGUUUAUGAAUAACUGAACUGUGCAAGACAGCUUAAUAUCCUCCCCGGCCCAAAACAACAGUGUUAAUUCAGAGAUCCAGAAUGCAGUUGAAAGACUGCCUAAUAUCGUCUAGGGCUCUGCAUCCCAUCACUCAUUAUCUAUGACUAUGUUGUCAAACUCCAGAGUCUACCUGAAACUCAUGAAGUGUCUGUAAAGUUUAAACUCAACCGAUAGCAGUUUACCUUACGCAAAAAAUAAUAUUUAAAAAACCUAUCAUAGUGUAUCCAAACAUAUAUUUAAUCCAAAAACCAACUGUCCUGUAAUGUGGAUAACUUAAAAUAAGCUAGAGGCAAUCAAUGAAUCAAGAGCCAAUAAUUCACAAAUUACAAGACACGUGAUAAGAACAGAAUACAAGAAGUUCAAACUUAAAAAACAUAACAGGUUUGAAAUUGAAAGAACAGAACACAUACAGAAUACAAGUUUGGAAUAGACCUGGAGUUCACAAUGGGUUAACGAUGGGAGUGCUAACAACAGAUUCAUUUCAUAAUAGACUUGGCAUUCACAACAGAUUCAUAUAAGACUUUG
rnacentral:lncRNA from 1 species